UUAAGCGACUAAGCGUACACGGUGGAUGCCCUGGCAGUCAGAGGCGAUGAAGGACGUGCUAAUCUGCGAUAAGCGUCGGUAAGGUGAUAUGAACCGUUAUAACCGGCGAUUUCCGAAUGGGGAAACCCAGUGUGAUCCGUCACACUAUCAUUAACUGAAUCCAUAGGUUAAUGAGGCGAACCGGGGGAACUGAAACAUCUAAGUACCCCGAGGAAAAGAAAUCAACCGAGAUUCCCCCAGUAGCGGCGAGCGAACGGGGAGGAGCCCAGAGCCUGAAUCAGUAUGUGUGUUAGUGGAAGCGUCUGGAAAGGCGUGCGAUACAGGGUGACAGCCCCGUACACAAAAAUGCACAUGCUGUGAGCUCGAUGAGUAGGGCGGGACACGUGGUAUCCUGUCUGAAUAUGGGGGGACCAUCCUCCAAGGCUAAAUACUCCUGACUGACCGAUAGUGAACCAGUACCGUGAGGGAAAGGCGAAAAGAACCCCGGCGAGGGGAGUGAAAAAGAACCUGAAACCGUGUACGUACAAGCAGUGGGAGCCUCUUUAUGGGGUGACUGCGUACCUUUUGUAUAAUGGGUCAGCGACUUAUAUUCUGUAGCAAGGUUAACCGAAUAGGGGAGCCGAAGGGAAACCGAGUCUUAACUGGGCGUUAAGUUGCAGGGUAUAGACCCGAAACCCGGUGAUCUAGCCAUGGGCAGGUUGAAGGUUGGGUAACACUAACUGGAGGACCGAACCGACUAAUGUUGAAAAAUUAGCGGAUGACUUGUGGCUGGGGGUGAAAGGCCAAUCAAACCGGGAGAUAGCUGGUUCUCCCCGAAAGCUAUUUAGGUAGCGCCUCGUGAAUUCAUCUCCGGGGGUAGAGCACUGUUUCGGCAAGGGGGUCAUCCCGACUUACCAACCCGAUGCAAACUGCGAAUACCGGAGAAUGUUAUCACGGGAGACACACGGCGGGUGCUAACGUCCGUCGUGAAGAGGGAAACAACCCAGACCGCCAGCUAAGGUCCCAAAGUCAUGGUUAAGUGGGAAACGAUGUGGGAAGGCCCAGACAGCCAGGAUGUUGGCUUAGAAGCAGCCAUCAUUUAAAGAAAGCGUAAUAGCUCACUGGUCGAGUCGGCCUGCGCGGAAGAUGUAACGGGGCUAAACCAUGCACCGAAGCUGCGGCAGCGACACUAUGUGUUGUUGGGUAGGGGAGCGUUCUGUAAGCCGUUGAAGGUGGCCUGUGAGGGUUGCUGGAGGUAUCAGAAGUGCGAAUGCUGACAUAAGUAACGAUAAAGCGGGUGAAAAGCCCGCUCGCCGGAAGACCAAGGGUUCCUGUCCAACGUUAAUCGGGGCAGGGUGAGUCGACCCCUAAGGCGAGGCCGAAAGGCGUAGUCGAUGGGAAACAGGUUAAUAUUCCUGUACUUGGUGUUACUGCGAAGGGGGGACGGAGAAGGCUAUGUUGGCCGGGCGACGGUUGUCCCGGUUUAAGCGUGUAGGCUGAUUUUCCAGGCAAAUCCGGAGAAUCAAGGCUGAGGCGUGAUGACGAGGCACUACGGUGCUGAAGCAACAAAUGCCCUGCUUCCAGGAAAAGCCUCUAAGCAUCAGGUAACAUCAAAUCGUACCCCAAACCGACACAGGUGGUCAGGUAGAGAAUACCAAGGCGCUUGAGAGAACUCGGGUGAAGGAACUAGGCAAAAUGGUGCCGUAACUUCGGGAGAAGGCACGCUGAUGGUAGGUGAAGCGACUUGCUCGUGGAGCUGAAAUCAGUCGAAGAUACCAGCUGGCUGCAACUGUUUAUUAAAAACACAGCACUGUGCAAACACGAAAGUGGACGUAUACGGUGUGACGCCUGCCCGGUGCCGGAAGGUUAAUUGAUGGGGUCAGCCGCAAGGCGAAGCUCUUGAUCGAAGCCCCGGUAAACGGCGGCCGUAACUAUAACGGUCCUAAGGUAGCGAAAUUCCUUGUCGGGUAAGUUCCGACCUGCACGAAUGGCGUAAUGAUGGCCAGGCUGUCUCCACCCGAGACUCAGUGAAAUUGAACUCGCUGUGAAGAUGCAGUGUACCCGCGGCAAGACGGAAAGACCCCGUGAACCUUUACUAUAGCUUGACACUGAACAUUGAGCCUUGAUGUGUAGGAUAGGUGGGAGGCUUUGAAGUGUGGACGCCAGUCUGCAUGGAGCCGACCUUGAAAUACCACCCUUUAAUGUUUGAUGUUCUAACGUGGACCCGUGAUCCGGGUUGCGGACAGUGUCUGGUGGGUAGUUUGACUGGGGCGGUCUCCUCCUAAAGAGUAACGGAGGAGCACGAAGGUUGGCUAAUCCUGGUCGGACAUCAGGAGGUUAGUGCAAUGGCAUAAGCCAGCUUGACUGCGAGCGUGACGGCGCGAGCAGGUGCGAAAGCAGGUCAUAGUGAUCCGGUGGUUCUGAAUGGAAGGGCCAUCGCUCAACGGAUAAAAGGUACUCCGGGGAUAACAGGCUGAUACCGCCCAAGAGUUCAUAUCGACGGCGGUGUUUGGCACCUCGAUGUCGGCUCAUCACAUCCUGGGGCUGAAGUAGGUCCCAAGGGUAUGGCUGUUCGCCAUUUAAAGUGGUACGCGAGCUGGGUUUAGAACGUCGUGAGACAGUUCGGUCCCUAUCUGCCGUGGGCGCUGGAGAACUGAGGGGGGCUGCUCCUAGUACGAGAGGACCGGAGUGGACGCAUCACUGGUGUUCGGGUUGUCAUGCCAAUGGCACUGCCCGGUAGCUAAAUGCGGAAGAGAUAAGUGCUGAAAGCAUCUAAGCACGAAACUUGCCCCGAGAUGAGUUCUCCCUGAGACUUUAAGUCUCCUGAAGGAACGUUGAAGACGACGACGUUGAUAGGCCGGGUGUGUAAGCGCAGCGAUGCGUUGAGCUAACCGGUACUAAUGAACCGUGAGGCUUAACCUU
rnacentral:rRNA from 1 species